rnacentral:piRNA from 1 species
UAAACCAAAAUCGCCCGGUGCGUUCAUU